rnacentral:tRNA from 1 species
GGGCCCGUAGCUCAGCUAGGAUAGAGCGGCGGACCAGCAACCCGUAGGUCGGGGGUUCGAGUCCCCUCGGGCCCACCA